CAGCACGGGNGCAANCCUGGUGGCGAGUGGCGAACGGGUGANUAAUACAUCGGAACGUGUCCUGUAGUGGGGGAUAGCCCGGCGAAAGCCGGAUUAAUACCGCAUACGCUCUACGGAGGAAAGGGGGGGAUCUUAGGACCUCCCGCUACAGGGGCGGCCGAUGGCAGAUUAGCUAGUUGGUGGGGUAAAGGCCUACCAAGGCGACGAUCUGUAGCUGGUCUGAGAGGACGACCAGCCACACUGGGACUGAGACACGGCCCAGACUCCUACGGGAGGCAGCAGUGGGGAAUUUUGGACAAUGGGGGAAACCCUGAUCCAGCAAUGCCGCGUGUGUGAAGAAGGCCUUCGGGUUGUAAAGCACUUUUGUCCGGAAAGAAAACCUCUGGGUUAAUACCCCGGGGGGAUGACGGUACCGGAAGAAUAAGCACCGGCUAACUACGUGCCAGCAGCCGCGGUAAUACGUAGGGUGCAAGCGUUAAUCGGAAUUACUGGGCGUAAAGCGUGCGCAGGCGGUCCGCUAAGACAGAUGUGAAAUCCCCGGGCUUAACCUGGGAACUGCAUUUGUGACUGGCGGGCUAGAGUAUGGCAGAGGGGGGUAGAAUUCCACGUGUAGCAGUGAAAUGCGUAGA
rnacentral:rRNA from 1 species